AUUGUUUGAAUCUAGCAAAAUUAACGGCCUCUUUUAAUUUCAUAUAUGCAAACCCUAGGUCCCCGUUUACCUCACAUAAAUCAAAACUUCUAAACGCCGCAAUAUAAAAAUCUAAACAAAUUGCAAAACAAAUAAUGGAAGAAAAAAGAAGGAGUGGUAAAAAUCGUGCCAGCAACCGCGGUUAGACGAUAACUCCUAGCCAUUACCAACGGAUUAGUGGAACAACGCCACGACAUAAAAAACUAAAUCAUGUAGGUCCAAUUUAAGAUAAUAUUUAACCUUUAUGUCUUUAUAAUCAUCCACGAAAGCUUAAACAAAAACAAGGAUUAGAGACCCUUCUAUAUUAAGCCAACAAAAAAUACCCGGGUAGUAAAAACAACUGUUCUAAACCUAAAAAUCUUGGCGGUAUCUAAACCAACCAGGGGAACCUGUUCUUUAAUACGACAACCCACGAGACACACAACCUUAUUUCGAAAACACAGCCUGUAUAUUGCCGUCUCAGUUUACUCUGAAAAGACGUAAACAAAAAGAUCCACCAUCUAUAUUCCAGGUCUUAAUGCAGCCAAUAAUAAGGGAGAAAUGGGUUACACCCUAAAUCAUAGUUACACCAAUAUGUGCUUUACCCCACAUUGAAGCCGGACUUGGAAGUAAUUAUAUUAAGUUAUAAUAUAAUGAAUACUGGCAAACUCAGAUAUGCACAAAUCGCCCGUCACUCUCGCCGAAAGGGGAGAUAAGUCGUAACAUAGUUGAUGUAAUGGAAAUUGCACCAAU
rnacentral:ncRNA from 1 species